AGUUUAAAGAAAUUAUUUUAAAUGAAUCCUGCCCAGUGUUAAUUUAUAAAUGGCCGCAGUACCCUGACUGUGCGAAGGUAGCAUAAUCAAUUGGCUUUUAAUUAAAGUCUGGAAUGAAUGGAAAUUUGGAAAAAAGCUGUCUCAAAAAUAUUUAAUCGAAUUUAAUUAUUAGGUGAAAAUACCUAUUUUAAGAAAAAAGACGAGAAGACCCUUAGAAUUUUUAUAAUAUUAUUUAUUUAAUUUAUUUUUGUUGGGGCGACAAUUAAACAUUUUAAACUUUAAUUUUUAAUAUGUAACGAAAUUGUUAUAAAAGAAUAAAUUACCUUAGGGAUAACAGCAUAAUUUAUUUAUAAGUUUGUGACCUCGAUGUUGGACUAGGAACUUGAUGGCAAGCAGUCAAAAUAGAUUUGUUCUGUUCGAACAAUAUUAUCCU
rnacentral:rRNA from 1 species